UACAGAGGUCUCAAGCGUUGUUCGGAUUCAUUGGGCGUAAAGGGUGCGUAGGCGGCGCGGUAAGUCGGGUGUGAAAUCUUGGAGCUUAACUCCGAAACUGCAUUCGAUACUGCCGUGCUUGAGGACUGGAGAGGAGACUGGAAUUUACGGUGUAGCGGUGAAAUGCGCAGAUAUCAGGAGGAACACCAAUUGCGAAGGCAGCUCGCUGGGACGUUACUGACGCUGAGACGCGAAAGCGUGGGGAGCAACAGG
rnacentral:rRNA from 1 species